GUUUCUGUAGCGUAGCUGUUAUCACCUUAGCCUUACAAGCCAAAGGUCCCAGAUUUGAAACCUGGAGGAAACA
rnacentral:tRNA from 1 species